UUUAAACCUACUAAUGUCAUUUUGCUGAUGGGACCUCGGGAUGUCAAUUGUCCAACAUGGCUACUGUCAGUCCUUUUCCUCUGUAUCAGCACAACAUAUUAUCUCAGAUGUGUACAUCUGAAUUUGGAAGUCUCCAAAUUGCAGGCUAUGUCUACAUGGCAAUGAAUCAUAACCAAUCGGCCUCCAAAGCCCUUUCUUUUCAAACUAUACUUAGGGUUUUGGGAUAAGGAAAGAACUGACCCUUUGAGACCUUGAUAUUUUAAGCUUUGCGAGCUGAUUUAGCCCAUUCCACCUUCCUACAAACUCCAUGUUUCCCAGUUGCCUGGACAACAUACAGCCUCCCGAAACCCAACCUUCCAGCCCUCAGUCCUGCCCUCAAGAGAAAUUUGCCACCAAGGAUUGGCUCCCAGGACCCAGGCCCCACCUCAGGCUCCUCGCUAGUUGGGCCUUCUCUCUGCCACUCCCCACGGGUGGGUCACUCCACAGGGAGCCCCAAUACUGGCAGGAGAGGAUCCUACAGGUAGGAAGAGGGGGUUGAGGAUGAUGGGAAGAGGGAGGGGAGCAGGUACAGGGAUUUAUCUAAAAGAGAGUUGUGAGGAGUGACUUCCGUACAGUCAGCCUGGUUGAGAGAAAAAACUUCACCCUCCCCGUUGACCCCAACCCUGCCUGAGGUUCCAAAGAGACUGUGAACUGACUUUUCUGAAGAGUAUGAGAGACAAAUUUGGAGUAGAACCAGGAGACUCCCCUGAGACUCCUGAUUCAGUCAGGAAAGCAUCCCUGUGUCCAGACCUAAACAUAAGGUCCCCUCCUUCUCCCAGGACAGCAAGGAGAUGCCACUUAAAAACAAAGAAAAAGGGAAGAAAUCUGGGGCGCAGAAGAAAAAGAACUGGGGUGCAGAUGUGGAGGCUGAGUCCAGGCACAGGCUGGUGGUGCUGGAGAAGGAGCUGCUCCGAGACCACUUGGCUCUACGGAGGGAUGAAGCCCGUCGAGCCAAGGCUUCCGAAGACCAGCUGAAGCAGAGGCUGCAAAGGGUGGAGGCUGAGCUGGAAGGGGCCCGAAGUGAAGGGAAGGCCAUAUAUGCAGGUGUGUGGUCUGUUGAGCAGGUGGGCAGGAGACAGGGGCCUGGAGGAAGACAACCAGCAGGGUCAGAUGAUGCAAGGAAGGGAAACAAGGAGGGCUUCCGACUGCCAGGCCUGGUCUUGGUCUUCCCCGAACAGUACAAAUCAGGCAGGAUCCUGCAGGAAUCAAAGGCAGAGAUGAGUCGCCAGUGCCAUGCCCUGCAGGAGGAUAUGCAAUCCCGCAGCAAGCAGCUGGAGGAAGAAGUCAAGGGCCUUCGGGGGCAGCUAGAUACCUUUGAAGACUGGUCAAGGAUAGAGUGUCACCAUCCUGCUGUCUUUCAUCCUGCCUGCCCCCAGAGGCAUGCCAAAGGGAAGCUGCGGCUGCCCGGGAAGAGGCUGAACAAGCUGUAAGAGAGCGGGACCAGGCCCUGUCUCAGCUUCGGACCCACGUGGCAGACAUGGAGGCAAAGUAUGAGGAAAUCUUACAGGACAGUCUGGACAGGCUCUUGGCCAAGCUGAGAGCCAUCAAGUCGCAGUGGGAUGGGACGGCAUUUAGACUCCAUGCCAGGCACAAGGAGCAGCUACGCCAGUUUGGACUCACCGCCCUGGAUCUUUGAGGCCACCAGCCCCUAGUCUCUAGUGUUCUCUGAGGCGCCAGCAAUAAAGUGUCUUGAUGUAGAACUCA